GAUAAGUUCCCUGUUUUUUAUUGAUUUGGGAUACUCUGUGAGACAAUCCAGGUGCUCAGUUUCUGUCUAAGCAAUGAAACUUGGCUAUAAGUUUAGAUUCACCACACUUUGUGGAUGAUUUGGGUGGAGAUCCUUUUUUAUUAGACACUGUCAGUUAAUCCGAUAGUCUUCCAGUAUCAUUUCUCUUCUAAGACUCCAGCAAAACAUCAAGGAGAGAAGUCCAAGGCCAUGAUUCAAAAUCCUUCAAAGCUGAUGAGAGAAACUUGUCAGUUGUGCCUGAAGUUUGUUUGCAGCGAGCUCUGGAUUGGAGUUUACCAGCUGCGAAUAGCAAGAUCGAUCCAAUGCCAUGCAACUAGCACGUCCUCACAGACCACCAGUAAAUGCUCGGUGGGCCUUGGUAUGGAAAUCUUUGACCUCAUCAAAACUUACUGCCAAUCCUCACCUGCAUUUAAAGAGGAGAAGACUGCAGGCCAGAUGAUCUUCUGCUCCGUGAUCUGGCUUCCUAAUUGCUGUCUAGUCAGUAGACGCAUAAAAGGCACGAGGAAGUGUCAGGGCCUGGGGCUGAAUAGCAGUUAUGCCACAGAAAGCUGGCAUAAUGGACAAAUGGUAUCCACCUUCAAGGCACUAGGUGGUCAAGCAGGCACAAAUAACUCUUAGCCAAGACAUUUUUGUAGCUCUCUAAUGGUGGGUGAGAUAAUGUCCAUACAACAGCAUCUUAGGCUCUUUUCGUGUUAUCCAUCAGAAAGGACUGCCUAACCAUUUACUGAUGCUUAGAUGUUAGGUUUUGCCCUGUGCUUUAGUUACCCUAAUGGGAUAGCAAGCCUCUUUUCUUCUAAGCAGCUGCCAGGAAAGUUGCCAGAGUGUUCAUGGGGGGGACGAGAGGAAAAUUCAAUCCUACACUGAGGGGACAACAUGGUCCCCCAAAUCCUGCGCCGUUGGCCAGUGGGCAUAGCCUGGUGCUUUCAGUGAU